ensembl:lncRNA
UGAUUUAGUUUCCAUCACUGAAGUACUGCCAGGAGAGGAAAAAUAAAACUACCAUACUGUGGAUGAGCUGAAAUCAAUAGUGGUCGCACAAAAGAGGGAAUGGAAUAUUUAGCCUUUCAGAGCAUCUCAGUAGAAUACCAUCUUUGAGCUGCAGUGAGUCAAUGAGGAUCUGCUUCUCCACUGGACAACAAAAUGAUCCAGAGUACAAGCCUUUACUCUGGGAACCAUUGCCAAGGAGAUGAUUAUUCAUUAAUGAUAUAAUCUUUGACCUGGAAGCCCUGUGCUCUGAGCACAGCCUGUGAAGCAACAGGGCCCUGGGGACAACCACACGUGUGUUCGAAGUCCAGCGCUGCAGGGAGGUGAGGGGUGCUGACACCAGGUUUUGAAUGGGCUGAGUGGUUUAAAUGAAAAGAGCAGCCAGUCACUGAAGAAAGAGUGAAUAACUCUCUCUGCCCGCCUGCUUUAGUGAGGACACGUUUACCAGGUGCCUCAUGAGGGACUCGAGGAAAAUACCAGAGACACCCAACUCAUUUCAUUUUGAAAACUGUGAAGGAAGAUGGUAGCUGUAGGUACCAGGAAUGUGCUGUCAUUGAAAUACAGUCCCAGUGUUUCUCAGCCUGCUCAUCCUGUGCAGUCUGUGAGAACCAGGGCACAGGGGCAAUGUAAAGUUGGAGCUGGAGAUGCCAGGGCCUGCAGCUGCCUUAGCUCAGGGUCAGCCCACAGCACACGGCUGCCUCAGGGCCCCUGGGGGCCCAGGAAGCUCCAGGUGCAAAUGUGUCUGCGUUGCACAGCUCGGACUCUGGACACACAGAGAAGCCUGUGGUCCCACAGCUUUGCAGGUGAACUAUUGGAAAUACUGAGUUUGGACUGCGGUUUAUCCAAGGUUCAUCAAGCCAGGUACGUUUUUACAAAGCAGAUUGAUUUUUACAGAUAAACCACUUCUGGACUAAAAAAGAAAAACAAGAUAAACUGUUGGAGAGCUCUCAGCUGGGUCCUUGCAUGUGGUCUUAUGUGCUGAAAAGAGAGGAUGCCAAAAGAGUUCAGAUCAACAACACAGGGAAUUUGUUUACUAUUCUGUGGACUAACAUCAAGAUGUUUCAAUCAAUC